AUUACUUUGGCAAAUUUAGUGUAAACACUCAAUUAUUGUUUAGGAACAAUUUGCAUGAACUUGUCCUACUACAUUAACUCAGUGUUUACACUAAAUUUGCCAAAGUAAUACAUAGACUAAAAUAAGCUGAAAUGGAAACUAAAUCUUCUUUAACAAGACCUAAUCUCUACCACACACCAAUUGUGUGCACUAGUAUCUCAUUUGCCUUGCUAUAAUUCUCCAUAUUCUACUAUUCUUCAUAACUGAUAUGAUGAACCCGGAUUAAUUUCUAGAGUCUAGCAUAUGCGUAUAAGCUGUUGCUCCCAAUUUCUUGAAUGUUGAUGCAACAGGACAGUGCGGCUAUCAGUUGCUUCAAAUCAUCUGCUGUGUGAGUUGCACUCAGAGUCACUCGCAGCCUGCAUGAGUUUGGAGGCACUGUUGGGGGCCUGAUUGCAGUCACAUGAAAACCAGAUUUCAACAUGUGCUGGCUGGCUUGCAGGGCUUUUUCUUCACUCCCAACAAUUAGAGAAAUUAUGGGACUUUUGAUGGGGAUUCCAGUUAAAGCCUGAAACUCCCUAACUCUGUUCCAAAUUGCAUUUCUACGCCACACUUCCUUUUUUGCCACAAUAACAGAAGCAUGGGCAGCAGCAGCAACAGGGACUGGAGAAGCAGUUGAAAAUAUAAAAGAGCGGCCUCUUGAUUGUAUGAGUUUCUUCCAAUUUUUGCUGCAUGCUAUAAAUCCGCCAUGGCAACCAGCAGCCUUACUCAGAGUUCCAACACAUAUGUCAACAUCUCUUUCACAAUUAAACUCCUCAGCCACUCCACCACCAUUUUUUCCACAUACAAAUGUUCCAUGAGCAUCAUCAAUGACUAACAAAAAACCAUGCCUCUUGCGAAGUUUCACAAGCUCAACCAUUGGUGCAAAAUCUCCAUCCAUACUAAACAAGCUAUCUGUCACAACAACUUUUUUCUUCAAUGCGCAACUUGAUAAUAGUGAACGAAGGUGGGACAUAUCACAGUGUUUAUACACAUGCACCUCUACAUUCUGUUGUCGUUCAGCAAGACGAAUACCAUCAAUUAUUGAAGCAUGAUUCAGUGCAUCAGAAAAUAUGGCAAUCUUUUCUUUCUUUGGAGGUUUUUCAGCUGAAGCCAAAAGAGAGCUGAUGUUUCCUAGAGCUACCAUCACUGCCAUAUUAGCAGAAAACCCAGUCGGACAAAGAAGACAAUCCUCUUUCUUCUUCAAGUUUGCCAAGCAAGACUCUAAUU
rnacentral:misc_RNA from 1 species